rnacentral:rRNA from 1 species
UUUUGGGCUCUGCCUAGAACUGGUUUGGAAUGAUCUGGCUUUAAAUAAGCCAGAGAGGAUCAAUUGGAGGGCAAGUCUGGUGCCAGCAGCCGCGGUAAUUCCAGCUCCGAUAACGAUUACCAUAUUUGUUGCAGUUAAAAAGCUCGUAGUUGUAUUUUUGUGUUUCGUCAUUUCGCACAGGUUUUAAUUAACAUGUGAUCGUUUUGACGGGCACUUUCGUGGGAUCAGUUUUGUUGGGUGUUUAUUCAUCUUUCACGACCCCCACCGUUUACUGUGAGGAAAUCUACGCGCUCAACGCCUUUUUUUGAAAGAAAAGCUCAGCACGGAAUGAUAAGAUACGAUCUAAAGCAUCUUGUUGGUUUAAUGUUAUAGAUAAUGAUAAAGAGGAACAGGUGGGGUAACUUCUAUCAUAACGUCAGAGGUGAAAUUCUUGGAUCGUUAUGAGAGAACCGACAGCGAAGGCAUUUUACAAGGAUGUUUUCAUUAAUCAAGAACGUUAGUUAGGGGAUCGAAGAUGAUUAGAUACCGUUGUAGUCCUAGCCGUAAACGAUGCCGACUGCUCAUUAUCAAGGAUUAAUUUUUAGUCUUUGGUAGCGGGCGAGAGAAAUCGAAGUCUUUGGGUUCUGGGGGGAGUAUGAGCGCAAGCUUGAAACUUAAAGGAAUUGACGGAAGGGCACACCAGAGGUGGAGCUUGCGGCUUAAUUUGACCCAACACGGGAAAACUUACCAGGGUCGGACUUUUGUAGGAUUGACAGAUUAAUAGCUCUUUCAUGAUUAAAAGGGUGGUGGUGCAUGGCCGUUCGUAGUUGGUGGAGUGAUUUGUCUGGUUAAUUCCGUUAACGAACGAGACCACGUCGUUAUAAUAGGAGCGCUGUCUUACGACAAGCGGAACCUUCUUUAACGGACUAUUCGUUUCCAACGGAUGGAAGUUCGUGGCAAUAACAGGUCUGUGAUGCCCUUAGAUAGCCUGGGCCGCACGCGUGCUACAAUGGAGACGUCAAUAGGUAUACUGUGCUCGACCGGAAGGUCUUGCUAAUCCCAAAUUGUCUUCGUGAUGGGGCUUGAUCUUUGAAAUUAUGGAUCACAAACGAGGAAUCUCUAGUAAGGGUGUGUCAUCAGCGCAUCCUGAUUACGUCCCUGCCCUUUGUACACACCGCCCGUCGCACCUACCGAUGAAAAUUUAAACGAGGUCUCGGGAUCCGAUUUUGUGAGGUGUUAAAGCCUU